rnacentral:lncRNA from 1 species
UGGGGCAAGCCCCGCUGCCCGGCUCCCGGGACCCACGAGGGCGUGGCCGGCCGCUCCAGGCCAGGACCGGAAGUGCCCGGGAACGGCGCCGCACGCGUCGAUGCACUUCCGGUCCUCGCAGCUUCCGGCAAGUGGCGCUGCGGCCCCGGGAACGGGUCGCUGGCCGUUAGCCCUCGAGCAUUCUGGGAGUCGUGGUUCUGCCUCCCAGCCUCCCUCCUGGCCUUAGUCAAUUCCGGUCUCUUCGCGAGAGAGCGCCGUUUCCGGGAGGGAAGACAGCGAACGCGCAGAGACCACACUCCCGAUAGGCCUCGGGAGUAGUGGCCCGGUGACUUGUGGGAGGUGUAGUUCUUCAGGCGCGGAAGCCGCGGCCCUCGGCCGGCGGAGGACUCAGUUUCCCAGAAAGCCGAACGCCGCGCAAGAUGGAGGCAGCCAGGCCACGGUGAGCUGCUCUAAAACAGACACCAUUGGCGUUUACUUCGUGUCCCCUUUCCUGGAGUUGUGCCUUCAUUUUGGGAGUCACGCGAGGCCCAGAGGAAUGGAGAUCUUGCCUGUGUUUGACCCGGUGCCGGGCACUCAGAGCCACUCCUGGUCUGCCUGGCCUGGUCCUCGCCAGCCACUGAGCCACUGA